rnacentral:rRNA from 1 species
CAUAUUAUGUUUACCAUGAAGUUUAGGUCAACCUUCGAGGAGGGACAUUAACUACUUCCGCCCUAAAUGAUAAAGAUCCCUCAUUCUCCAAAUAAACAACUUGGUACUAUAGAUUCCCUCAUUCUCCGUUGCAGGUCCCCAUAGAUUCUCUCGACCAGGUCCGAACUACCUUUAGCGAAUCAUGUAAGUACCCUAGUGUUUGAAAACCGCAACCAACUCUAAUCACUGCGUCCUGGUAAUUAUUGAUCUUCUGACACUGUUAAUUGAAUGACAAAGUACUUAAUCUCUCCGACCCAACCUGGUUGAGGUACAAUGUCCGGGAAAGGAGUAACGUAAAGAGAACUGUAAUUUAAAUAAUUUAAUAUUAAAGUCAUCCUUUAGAUGUUGUAUGAGUCUAGUAAUACUAAUGAGAAAGGACAAAAACAAAGAUAUAGAUUAACUAUAUAUCUAAAACGUAGAACAGGAUACUGUACAUGAAGACAUCAACACAGGUAACCUGAAUGAGAAAAGUAACACCGUAGUACUAAGGAGGAAAAGAACCGAACGAUAUAUACAAACAAAGU